GAUGAACGCUGGCGGCGUGCCUAACACAUGCAAGUCGAGCGGCAGCGAGGGGUGCUUGCACCCUGUCGGCGAGCGGCGGACGGCUGAGUAACGCGUGGGAACGUGCCCCAAAGUGAGGAAUAACUGCCCGAAAGGGUAGCUAAUACCGCAUAUUAUCUUCGGAUCAAAGGAUUUAUCCGCUUUGGGAGCGGCUCGCGUCGGAUUAGGUAGUUGGUGAGGUAAUGGCUCACCAAGCCGACGAUCCGUAGCUGGUCUGAGAGGAUGACCAGCCAGACUGGAACUGAGACACGGUCCAGACUCCUACGGGAGGCAGCAGUGAGGAAUCUUCCACAAUGGGCGAAAGCCUGAUGGAGCAACGCCGCGUGCAGGGCGAAGGCCUUCGGGUUGUAAACUGCUUUUAUAAGUGAGGAAUAUGACGGUAACUUAUGAAUAAGGAUCGGCUAACUACGUG
rnacentral:rRNA from 1 species